AGUGCAUGAAGUGUGUAAUUUUGAAGUCUAAACCUCUGAGAACUCACGACACUCUGAGGCAGCAGUUUGCCUUCAAAGUUGUCUCUCUACCUGUACUUACCAUCUCUUGUGAUACAGCACUACUGCUCACAUUUCCUCUGCAGAAAGUCAUAAGGUUUACUUUCUAAAAAUCUCAUCAUCUUCUCUUAAUUAGGCAUUUUCACACAAUGAUCCAUAUGGGAGUCAACGACAAAGGUGCUGAUGUGCAGCACAGCCUGGCCCCGUGGAUGGAGAUUGAUAAGGCUGGCAGAGGGGCAGACCAUCACCUUUGAAGACUGGAUUUUCUUCUGAAACCAUCAAAUAUGUAAAGCUGGCAGAGGAACGAAAUGGCAGGGAGAGUGUGCAGUGGAUGGAGCUCCUUCCCCACAUCAUCUGAGGGUUGCUCAGGCUUGCCUAAAAGUCGUCAGAGGGUGGCGAGUCACCCAUCCAACUGGAGCUGAGAGUCUGCUUUUUGCUUCUGAAACAGGACCAUGAUUUCUGUUCGUGUCUCUCAAGGUUCAGGAAGUGAUAUACGACUCCGUGUGAUGGCCAUGGGUGGUGAGCUCUGUGACAAGAUUUCAAUGCUUCAGGGAAAAGAGGUUGCUGGGUGCCCGAGUCAGGAUGUCGAUCUCACCUGCAGCCCCGAGGUCCUUUCCCAGGCUUGUGGCUCAUCUUCCAAGGAUAUUCCCGCACAACCCAAAGCUUGAGAGAAACCAGAUUGUUUAAGAAAGCUAACCCAUUCAGAGGUAAAGAUGAAAAGUGAAAAGCCCAUGAAGAUCAGAUGGAAGAAUCAGAAUUAUCAUUCAGAUUUCUGUACUCCGACUCUGAUUUUCCUGGAUUUGUGACUUGGAAAAUACCUUUGCUCUGCAGUGCUUGCUCAGAAGACUUUACAUCGACGUCCAGUGGUGCAGCUCAGGGUGGUCUGUGACUAAGCUGGAAGUGCUUGAAGGAAUAUUGGAUGGGUAAGUAGGGAUGACUCCUCUGCUUCUUUACUUGUGUGGGGUCCAGCUGAGACUUAGCUACGUUUUCUGUCUCCCGUGAGCAAGAGCAAGGGGAGAUGAAAGACCAGAAAGGAAGACAGUGUUAAGUCCACAAUUACCAGCAUUAUUGAGCGGGAGAUGGAAGCCGAGCAGGAGUUUAGCAGGGUAAGCAGCAUGCUCCUCCUCCCUCGCCUGGGAGUGGCUCCUUGUGCUGCACCACCUGGGAGAUCCCAAGGGUAUGAACACCUCAGGAAGCUGGAGUAGAAAGAUGGGGAAGGAGAGUUUAAACUGGGCACGUUGUGGCCCCUAUUCUUGAACAAAUCACAGCACCAUGUGGCCCUACCAUCACAAAACUAGCAGUCCGUGGCCAGGUGCCUCACUUCUAACAUCGUUACCAGUUGAAGUUGCUUUGAAGACAUCUAAAAAAGCAUCUCGUCCUGUUCAUGCCCACUGAAAAGCCUGUCUCUCAACACUGCCCACACAAGAAAUUGGGAACUGCGCCGAACCCAUGGAGCCUUGUCACUAUUCCUGGGCUGCUGUGGACCAAGGAGGUCUUGGGGACAAGAGGUAAGGUGCCACCGCAGGGCAGAGCCGGCUCGGCUCAAUGGUUGUCCCUCCAGCGGGACCCUGUCCUGCUGGUCUGCACAGAGGGAUUUCUCCGGUCCCUCUCUAAACACGAGGACUGCAGCAACUCUCCUGUUGACUUAGCUGGGAACAUCAGGCUCAUUUUCUUACCUAAUGCUUCAAAGGUAAAAAUACACUCCUUUGAUCUGUGCAGCUAAAAGUGUCAUUGAGCUAUGUUGUUAAAAAAAAUUAUAAAAAAUGACCAGAUGGCACAGUAGCUGGAUUUGGCUGGCUUAGAAUAGGGUAUUAUUCCAACACAGAUAACAACGUAUCCCUCCAAAUAAAACAAGUGACCACAGAGCAUAUGUUUUAUUGAACAUCAGAGAUUUUUACUGUGAUAAUUACAAUGAUACAAUGCUGGUGUCCUUUAUCCAUAGAAAGCUUCGAUGAGCCUGAGCCCCGGUGGGGCUGGUGAUGCUUUCUUGUCCCUUGCAGGUCCAUGAACUCGCAUGAAAAUGUGGCUGAGGCUUAAAGCACUGGCCCAACCCUGCUGCUCUGCCAAAGUUAUGCUAAGCUCAGCAUCACUGACGCUGUAAUGUGGGUAAAGAAAAUCAGAGUAAACUCCUGCAAGAGUUUACUUCCACUUGAUUUUUCAAGUUCUGGGUGCAGAAUAACAGCCACAAAAUAUGUGGCAUAAAUCAAAGCAAGUUAAGUGCAGCUAAACUAGGUUAAUAGUGGUGUAGGUGGUGGUUUAAAAAUCAGGAACAGCUGAAAAUUUGACUGCACUGAUGUUAAUGCUGUGUUAGCCUGGGAAAGGGAUGGUUUUUUGUAAGUCAGUCUUCAGCCAGUUCCAGCCUCAACCCUUGAAUGCAGCCUGCUGUUCAGAAGGAGCUUAGCAUUCCAGUUUAAUCAUGGCCAAAAUACAAAGUAAUGUGUAUAGAUAAUUGGGUGUGUGCAUGGUGCUUAACCCACACUGCCAUUCAUAGUUUGGAAAUGUUAUUGGGGCUUAAGUGAUGGAGUCACCAAGCACUGCUGGAGGGUUUGCCCCUGCGGGAGAAUUUACAUCCCACGUAAAAUCGGGUACCUUGAACCCAUGAUGGUGGUGCAGGUGAAAUGGUGGGGUGACCCACCUGGACUAACAGGGUGCCCUGGGAUGGAUGGGUGCCUCGCUCCUGCCCUCCACAGUCUGGCAUCCUGACUCAGUGCCUCAAGUUAGGCACAUCCCGUCUUUGGGUUAAAAAAGGAGGGCAGGAGCCUUGAGGGGCUCCAGGAGAAUGCAGGGGAAGAGCAAACGGGAAGACACCAGGGGACUGUCACUAGCAAAGAUAACAAAAUUAACAAGUAAACUAAGAGGCAAUUUAGAACAUCAAUAUGCACAGCAAUAAGUGACAAUGAAUCACCAGAGAUCUGUUGCUUUAAUGAUGCUGUUGUUAAAAUGAUGGCCUAGAGCGAUUUCAGACCACGUAUACUGAAUUUUGGCUGAUGCUUAUCAAUUUAUAUGCAAGAAAAUUUAUAGCAUGCAACCCAAAUGAAACAGUCCUUUGGACAAGAAGAAAUGGAUUGCAGGUGCAAACAAGCAUGAAAUGAAAAUCUACUAAUGAGUUUCCAUUAGCAGCUAAAUACAUAAUCGAAUAAUUUUUAGCCAACAUAGAGCAAUGAGAAAAUCAAUUUAUUCCUCAUAAGUACUACUGUGUGGAUUGAUGCUCUAGUACAUCUAAAGCUGGUUUUGUUAAGCGAAAGGCGAGCCUUGGGUUCAGUUAAAGCUCAGCUAAUAGCAGCAGAGCAUGGGUUAGGUGUUACUGAAUAUGAGUGCAAUAGAUUUUAUUUGGAAACUCUGAAUAACAUGAGAUAAAAUGAGGUAUUAGUAUGGAGUAUUUCCAUCUGAAAGCUAGACACUAAAAUAUUUCAGCAAGAUGAACUAGCACUGGCACAUCUGAAUUUACUUAUGACUGUCCAUUAAUGAAAUAAGCAUUGUACUUCAUCUGCUCUUGAAGCAACGGUAUCCUCAAUUUCCUUUCUUUUUGCCUUAAACAGCCUCUACCUGAGUUUUGCUUGCAUGGUGUUUUCACACCUUAUUCAGCUAUGGUAAAUAUUUCUCCUCCACCUACGGAGACCCUGAUUCCAAGGCUCUCACAGCCAUAGAUAUAAACAACAUAACUUUGAAAAGCCAGUUUGAAAGUGUUGGUGAGGGUUCUGCAGCAGAAGACACACGUUGGUGUCAAAGAGGCACCACUUCAGCAGCACGCAUGAGAACGGCAAAACCGUGUGUUUGCGCAGUUCCUGCAGGGAGUGACAUUUAUACUGAGAAACUGGCUCGUAUGUGCAGUACAAAUAAUGCAGUGUUUCUUCCAGGCCAGGUUCUUCACCUUUCCUUCCAGCAGUGUACGUGUCUCCUGGACCUCAUGGGGAUACUGGUGGAGAAAAUGCCGUUCCACAGAGUGGAGCUCUGAUGGGCACGAUUUGGCCUCUGCUCUCCAGAAUGAUUCAUGGAGUAAGAGAUAUUUUCCAAGAAUAAGUUUAUAUCUUGGUAAGUACAGAAAUGUAGAAGAGAAAAACUAUUUACUUCUCUCCUGGGGAGCUGCCAGUCCUAUGGCCCUCCCCAUGCAUUUCUCCCAGGUGCUCCUGUGUCCCAGAGGACCCGCACCUGCCCCAGGAUGGCAUUGUAAGGGGUUGGAAAUAUCUUCACAGCUUCCAGGGGGAGAGAAAUGCAGCAGAGCAUCCUCCUCGCUCUGUUGAACAGCACCCUGCACCUGAAGGGCAGUGGCAGGAAAAUGCUAAGGGCAUCGUAGGUCAGACUUAGGUAUUGCUGAAAAGAAGUUGGGCUAUGGAUGCGUGAGCAAGUUGCCCUAAGGAUCCCAUAUAUAUCAACUGACCUGUGAGAACCGUGUCCGUGAGAGCCAGGCAAUGCACGGUAACUUGAUAACCUUAAUUAAAGAGAUUCUCAUUCUCUUUCUUUGGCAUUGGUUGAGGCUAGAAAUGCGGUGCUACCUCAGAUAACCUUAUUUUAUCCAGGAGCACGCACAGGCAGAUUAUAGCCCACUGUGCAGUAAGGUGUUUUCACUUCCACAGAGCCAGUACUCCGCGGUCAGAGUUUAAACAGACGUUUUGAAACCAGUUCAGUAGAAGAUGCAUGAAUGUAAACAUUUCCUCUUCGAUGUUUAUAACCCAGAUUCAGAAGCCUUGUGGUUAUAUGUGAGAUUGCAACAUGGACGUGUAGAAAGUCUUUGUUUUCAGUCCGUAAGUGAACCUUGAUUUUUUUAAAAGUAUAUUUAUGUACAUGUAUGUGCAAACACAAAGAUAUUGUCUCAAAAGCAAGUAUACCAUUUGCUGCUAUGCAAUCAUACAGCAUUUUCUUAGAUCUCUGAUAAGUGCCGUUUAUUGCAUUUUUAAUUUUAAGUCAAGUCAAAAAGGAGACUUGCCUGGGAUUUUUCACUGUGGUUUUGUCACCCAGUUCCCACUAAAGCUGAGUGUGUGAUUUUGCUGAAAAAAGAUGCUGAUUUUGCAAGAAUGCAAAACCUGUGCUGACAUCAGUGGGAGCUGUGUAUCUGGAAUGAUUAAAGACCAACGCCAACGAUAUGACUGCAUGGUAUUAACCUGGGAUCUGGGAAACGAGUACUUUUUGCUCUGCAGUCGUCUUAAUAAAGGGCAGCUUAAGGUGACCAGAAGCCCAGUCCCGCUGAUCAUCUGCACUGUGAGCUUCCAAAGUCAUCUGCUGGCCGCUGGUCAGUUCGACCUUGAAAGCAGUGAUGAACAUCAAGGGCAGAGGGCAGCUCUGCCCUCCCCUCCCAGCCUGGGUACCUGCCAUCAUGGGCCAGACCAUCCACUGGCGGCAAUGACAACCUUGUCCUCCCUGCCAGGCUCACAGGUCCUCACCGUGCUGCUUCUCCUUCCACAGCUCCUGGGGUGAGCUGAGCUCCUGGGGAGCCUCCCCACCAGAUGGUAAGAGGAUCUCUUAAAUUGCUACGGCUGUAGAAAACUUCCACCACUACUUUUUCCCAGGCAUCAUCUGCUAUACUCCAGUGAUAAAUCCAGUGUUCUGUAUAAACAAUUAUUUCCCUGACAACCUAGUUUUCCAUUAGAAAAAUGCCCAAACCUGGGACUUAUUAUGGCAAUUGACAGGUAAAAAUUCAGCUUGUGUGGACUCAUGCUGUUUAGCAUAUAUACCCAAACAGUGAGGGAAUGGCAUGUGUCAAACCCACAGCCACCUUAUUAUACUGCGAGAACCACAGGGAUGCACACAGUGACAGGGAAGCCAGAUUCUUUUCAGCCCUCUGUCAUAUUCAGAGUGUUAACAGGGCUGAGAUUAAAAUAUCUGAAAUGUUUUUCACUGGUAAGAACUCUGGAAGUACUGAUUCUUGCAGACUAAUUGCCCCAAAAACAAUUUUUUAACCCACUGUUUGAUACAGCUUUACCUGUCAAGCUAAAGAGAGGUGUCAGAAAGUUAAACCUGUUUGGACGAGGCUUAUUUGAUGUGAAAAGCAGCCAGGAGCCCAGCAGGAGGGUAUUUUCCCAGCUGAGAAUUACAAAAGAACAUCUUCAUUUUAGAGACGAGCUCAGAGGUAAGCACGUAAACCAGCCAGGCGCAGUACCCAUCAGCACAGAGCCUCGGCGCGGGCUUGGCCAGGGUGUCUGCCGGCAUCCUCAGCAUCACAGGUUGCUUCAGGUUUCUGUUUUUAGAGCUGAGCUUUGCCUCAUUUCAUGAUGAUCAGACGGUGGGUACUGAGGGUCUGCGGUCCCUGAUUGUGCCUGCAGAGCCAAAGAGCCUCCCCGUAAGCCACAAGCUGCAGUUGCAGGCACUCUGGUGGCAUGGGCAGGGUGUAAUUCCUAAACACCCUCAGGGGCCCCUGUGCCAUCAGAAGACAGGGAGGACAGGGCCAGCAGGCUUACCCCUCUUUCUUGUCGGCUGGCAGAGGCUCAGGAGUAGAAGACAUGGACCGUAUGUGUUGGGGGCUGUUCCAGACCUGCUGGAAUGCAGUUACCUCCGUGGUGCUUCAUCAGCGGUUUCCAUAUAUAAAGGGUAUUUUGGAAGGAGCAGAAAAUCGCUUUGUGCAAUUAAAAAUAUCCAAAGGACUGGGGAUGGUAGAGUGUAAAUAACUAAAUGACCAAAUUGGCUUUCUCUUCUUGGAAGAGAUCCAUAACACAGAUGCUGUUGGGCAUGUUGUUGUUUGGAUGACUCUGUCCUGUUCCUUCCUCAGCUGCCUGUACCUCCUGCUCUGCCAUGACACUGCUGGGCUCCCUGCAUUGCUACACUCGAUUUGUUCAAAUAACAGUCUUUCAAAGAAUAAUGCCCUUUUACUCAAGGUUGAGAAGUGGCUGAAUCAGUGAAAGCAGCGCUUGGAAGUUUUCCUGGGAGGUUACUGUCUCAAGUACUGGUCAGGACCUCAUCGGCUCAGCCUGUUAGAGAUGCUGACACUGCAAACCCUGCUGCAUUUUCCUGGCUUCAGGUGUGAUUCUUCACUCAGUGGAACCUUUGAGUAAGCUUGUGGAGGGAGAGACAAAUCUUAAGGAGCAAACUACAGAAUCACGUUUAUCCAUGGUUUCCAGAAGAAAAGUAGAAGGGAGCAAUCUGUUCUCCUUUCCUCUCCAAAAACAGAUCCAGGAGCUCAUUACAUUGAAAUAACAUGAUGAAGAGGCAAAGUUCACCCAAUAAGUGCUUCCAUGUCACAGUUAGCUAAAAAAUGACAUCUUGGAAGCUUUAAAGGACUGUGAAACCCAACCAUGCUGGACAAAGGCCUCUAAGAGCCCUUGAAUGUCUCAACUGAAAACCUGGCGACUUCCUUGGCAGGAGUUCCCAAAGAGAAAAUAUUUCAGGCUUUGAGGAUCUCACAUACGCCGCUGCUGCAGCCACGAAUACUGUAAAAUCCUUCUCCAUGGUCAGAUCCUUCAGGACAAGCUGUGGUCAUUGUAUAAGUGCAGAGCACAAUCAAAAUGGAAAUGGAAACAAUUAAAUAUACACGACAAGCAGGUAUUAAGCCCUCCUCAUGCCAGCCAGGGACCCAGCCCCGCAGGAGAAGGCAGCCCUUUGCUCCUGUAGCUGGAGUGGGAUUUCCACAGCUGCAAAGUUGCCUUUCCAAGGCAGCUCCGAGCACGAUCUCAUCAAAGGAUUCCUGGAGCACAAAGCAAAAAAGACUCAAUCCCUUCAACACUUCACUAAUUACUGACCUGGAGCCGGACAGUGCGUGCGGACCCCGAUCUUUGAGAUGGAGGAUUUUUGUGGCUGGCAGCACCCAUGGUUGGGAGCAUCAGCCUGAACGCACUGUGAAAAACCUUCUGGUCCAUUUUACGCCCAACAGCAAAACUGUAUGUAUGUCCGUAAAGUGAGGAACUACAGUGCUGCCUGAGCUGUGGGAAGACAUCUGCAGAGGCAGUGCUGUGGCGGAAUGCGGGCAGGCCAUACUGGAAAAAAUAAGGAGUUUGUUUAGUGGUAAAAGCUCUGAUGUUUUUUGCAAAUGUGUUUGCAGAGCCAUUAAAAGCUAUGUUUAAUCUCUGCUCCAUUUCCAUUCUGGUAUGCAUUAUGCUUCUUCUGCAAGGAGUGAGUGCAGUUAAUGGCAUCGGGCGGCUCUGCCUCUGCUGAUGGGGAGGCUGGGCAAGAUCUUGUGGGGGCUGCUCUGCCAGGGGACUCCGGAGACCUCUCUGAAACCAAAGCACAGGGCUAAAUGCCGCUCCAUGUUUGUGUGUGCCAAACUAGGAUGCCAGCGUUUGUGACUGAAUGAAAACUUCCCUGAAUUAGUAAUGACAUUUUUAUUUUUAAGGGACUCAAGCUCAGGCAGCACUUUUAAAAAUGAAUCAUGAUUUUAGGUGAUUUCUUUCUACGUGGAUGCUCAGAACUGUCUGAAAAUAGUCUGUUAAAGCUAUUAGGACUCUAAUGGAGGUGCUCACACUCACUAAACUGAUCGGCAAACAAUGGCUGUAGUGUCUCAUCCUCCUGAUUAUAUUCCCUAUUUGCAUUUCCUUGGAUAUACAAAGAAAAAGCAAAUCAACAAUGAACAGCACAGUUAGAGCAGGAAUAACCAAAGUGUGAUAGAGGAAUAACUGCUGAUCUGGAGGUGUCAUACUGCACUGCCAGACACACACCCGGGCCUUUUGCAGCAGAGCACCCCGCAGCUUCCUGGGCAUCCCGGUGCUGCUUGGGAGCUGCUGGAGCAGUGGGGUGGCUCAGGCUGGUCCCCGACUCGUUCCCUGCCUGGGAUGCACUGACAGGAGCAAGCAGUGCAGCUUGGCAUGGCUCAGGUGCAAAAUGCUGUGGGAGCGUUCUUUUUUGUCCUUCAUCAGAAGGAUGGAAACCAAGGUUUGAUAUGUUAACACUUGGCCUAAUAUUAGCUAGGGAAAUAAAGCAGGUGUACUUCAUCAUAUUAAAGAUACAAGCAAUCUCUAACGGUCUGUUAUUAAUGUGGGGAGAUUGACUGAAAAUAUUUUGCCUCAAUGGCUCUUAAGAAAUUCACAGUUCAUUUCCAGUCAUUAAAAUAAUUAGGUGCUGCGCUUUGACUACUCCACUAAGGGCACAGCUAUAGGGCAUGCUGACCUCAGCGUGAGCAAGGGUGUGAGCUCGCAGCUCAUCCCCUCCUUGCCUGGAUAGCAUCCACGUGGGCUCCCGCCCCGCACUGGAGCUGGUCUUGAAAAAUGUAAGUUAACCCAGUGAGGCACUGUUAACGCUGUUCAAGUGACGUAAGGAUGUGAGGCAGAAGGAGUUUGAUAAUUGCACUUCUCUUUCUGCACUAGCUUUUCAAUUAGUUCUUAAUCUGAAAGUCUUUUCUAGUUUUUGAAAAAGCAAAGAGAUGUUCUUGUAAUUCUGGUGUUAGGUAGCAGUAUCUUGAAGGUAUUUCUGUAAAUACACUUGAAAUGUGUAGAAUUUGGCUCAGGGGCAUUGCUGAGGGCAUGCAGAGCUUUUGUCUGCAUUGGCAGUUUGGACUUAGGCAAGGUUUAUAGUGGUGCAGGGGUGGAUGGUUUUGUACGGGUUAGGAAUGUGAUACCAGAGUCAGGUCAGUACAAGCACAGCUCCUGCUGCAGCAUCUGUAAGGGGGCUGUAAGCCCAUCGUCGAUAACGGGGUGCAUAGUGCUUCCAUCAAAGCCGCUGCUCUCUGAUGAAUUAGGCAUGGCAGACAAACUUGCAUCAGGAUCUGCUGCUAAAAGUAGCACCAAAAAUUAAGGAUGCACCAAAAUGACUCUGCCGCUUUGCACUUUUCUCUGUGCCGCAGGGCUGAGAUGCAGGGGGAUGUGCAGGCUGGCUGCUAGCUCAUCUGUACUGGUGUGGCUGCUUGCCACGUCCAACUGGUCCUGCUGAACCAAACCCAUGUGUGAACUGGGGUGAAAAGCUCUCUGCUACAUGACCAUACAGGAUCUACUAUGAUGGCAUCUAUGCCUUUGGGUAGAGCCUGUAAACAUUACUGUGAUACUAUACAUAGCGAAAGGAAAGAUUUAAGUGGACCUUUCAGAUAACCUUCACUUCAGUAAACUAAUAAAAAAAAAAUUCCACUCACUUUAACGGGAUCGGAAGAGUUCAGAUGUCUGGGUAAGUUUUCUUUCACUAUUCCCUUAUUUAACUUUGAUAAAUACCACUCAGUGGAGUUUUAGAAAUCUAAAUUUUGAUUGUGUUAGCGAUAGGAAAAUAAGCAAUAAAAAUGGCUGUUGAGAUACUUGUACACUGAUGAGGGAAUUAUCAAAACAGCUAUAGCUGAGUAACUGUGAACAGCACCAAUGUUUCCACUGAAUACAAUUAUAUUAUAUUAUUCCCCAAUUACAAAGAUUAUUUAAAUGACAAAAGUUAUAGAAUAAUAUACACUAGAAGAUGUACCUAUUUCUAAAAUCCCUGAAACCAUACUUAAAUCUUCAGAGUUAUUGCUCACCUUUAACGUAGUUCUCAUCAACUGCAGUAUAAGCCUUAGAGCUGACACUUCAGAUAAGUACAUGAUAUAGUUCAGCCCUAAAACCCUUAACAAAAAAUACAUCAGGGCUUACUGUAAAAUUUCAUGGAGGUUUAAAGAAAAUAUUAAGUCAAUAGUUCUUCAGUUAUUAGGGGCUUUUACGGUAAUCAAUACUUUCCGGCCAUAUUAGUGCCUACGAUGAUGAAAGAUGACAUUAAUAUCCAGCUCUUCUUUUUUUGGUGUAUUUGUGUCUGUCCUAUCUUUACUCAGUCCUGCUAGAAUCAAUAGCAACACAAAGAAUAUGGUUAUUUAAAAAAUGCCAUCAAUAUUGAUUUGUUUAUUACUGCCAUUUUCAAGUGGAACUUGAUUUCAGGAAAAAAAAAUACUUUUUCAUACAAAAGAAUUAACAGUCACCCUAAAACUCUGGAGUACCACGUGACUUUGCUUAUGGUGAUUUUUCAGUUUAGCAGUGUACUAAUGCAGCAAGAACUGUUUUAGGAUUAAUAAAUCCUAAAAAUAGGAUUAAUAGGAUUAAUUCUAGGAAUUCUUGAGAAUUGCAUGACAUUUUAUGCCCUCAAAGCAUUGCACAGAUGUUAAUUAAAUUUAAUUGAUAUUCAGUCCUGAACUUAUAUGCAUGCAGUUACUAAUGAUUUAAUGAUUUUUUCAAUGGAAUAGAGUCUUUGCCUUUGAUUCUGUUUCAAAAAAUUGAGACAGUCAUCCUAUGUGCAGUCUUUAGGCUCAAUCCUUCUUAUUCAGGUACCUCAGGAAUAUGGCUGGUCAAAUGACAAAAUUUCCGGCCCUUUAUAGCAGCAGUGUUUAAUGUACUUUCUUUUGUCUCCCACUGCUGGCUUUCUUCUGUGUUUCUCAGGUAAGAAUUUGCUUAAAAAUUCUGGUGAUAACUCGGUGUUUGUCUCUGCGCAUCUAGGACCUUGUUUGUGCUCAUUUCCCUGGUUGUUCAGUUCCCCAAACCAUGUAUUUAUUGACUGAUUGCAGCUUACAGUUCCAAUAAGACCAGCCAAAACAACAGAAAUAUUACAGACGUGUCUGUAUCUCUUCACCUGUGAUUGCCUUUGGCCCAGAAACUUCUCCAAGUAAGCAGUCAAGACAGAAACUUCCUAUAAAGAUAAAACCCCAUGUGCCACAGGAAUUUCAGACUGUACCCGUUGGUUCUGUCUCUGGUGAACAAUACCCUGAUGUGUUCAUGGAAACUAACACUUUACCUGUUCUGUUGCCUUGAUGGAAGGGUUUGAACUAUGCUGCAUCACCCGGACUGUUGCAGCAUCAACAGCUAUGCACGGCCAGUCCUCGUGUGCUCAGGACCCCUGCCAGCUUGGUCGGCUUCUGCCAACCCUGCACUCCUUUGCCCAUGCCUUUCCUGAGCCAGGGAGCCCCAGGCUGGAUGCACUAUUUCAGAUGCAGUCCAAGGAGUGCUGGAUAAAGGGGGUGCUGGGGGGAUGAUUUUCAAAAGAACAAUGGAAUGACAUUUUACCUGACUUUGGAAAUGAAUUCACAGCGGUGGUUUAGCAAUCUCAUGCCUUUUGUGCCUUAGAUUUGCCUUCCAUAAUACGGAAUGGGUAGUGAGAUACUUUAACAAAGCAAUAGAAAAUUUAAAAUGAGAGGGUACAUACAUUUUUCUAUCCUAUUACGAACUCCUAAAGCCAUUAGUACAUUGUUUAUAUGCUCAUAUUUGUAAUAAAGGAUUGACUAAUUGAAUUUUCAUAAAUUUUAGGCAAAGACAAAAUGAAUUGGCCUCCAUUCCAGUUUAACUCAGUGCCCCAAAAAAUUUACUUGUAGGCAAUACAUUAUUUAAAAAACACUCUGAAGAAAACAUGUCUAACUUUAUGAUACAUAUUUAGACAACAUGUCUUGAAGCCCUGUAUGGACCUACAAUAUUCAAUUUAUAUGAAAUAGAAUGAAUGAAAAAGGGGCAAAAAAAUGGGUAUUUACCUGGAAACUUGGACUGCAGUUUAUUAAUCUGUAUCUCGGUAUUGGUUGUUACUAUUAUUUGCCAUUGAUAAUGCUAAGUCAUUAAAUGAAAGUCAGUUCCUUGUGGAAGAGUUUGUUGGCUUCUUCAGGGUCCUAAAACCUGUGAAGCGUGAAAUCAAUGACAAAUUGUGAGGAGGUAUUACAAUUUUAAAAUGUAGAGCUUAUGGUGAUUUGGAACAUUGUAGAAAAUCAACCAUUUUGUGAAUGGCUAACAAAAUAUGAUAUAUUGCUGAAAAUCUCCUUAAAUACUCAGCUAUUGAAAGAAAUUAAUCCUAAGUGGGACUUCAGUAGUAGAACUUCUAAUUUGAUGAAAUUUUCAUGCUUGACAGGUAGUGAUAGCAACUAAUAACGUUAAUAACCUUACUAUUUACAGGUAAUUAUCCCUAUAAAUGAGCUGUGAUGGUUUGAAAACAUCUGUUUCCUUUUGGAAUCAGUGUAUAUCUGCCCUCAAACAAGGUGAAAAUUUGGUGUUAUAACUCUGAGGACUAAAUUUCUAUAUUUUUCCUGCGGUGCUAUAUUCCUUGCAAUUAGGCAACAGCUUAUAUGGUAACAGCUUAUAUGAUUACUGCAUUUGUAUGUAUCGCUGUGUACAUUAUUAGAAUGUGUUUCCUUAAUCUCACGGUUUUUUUCUGAUACUUUAGGCAUUAAACAAAUCAUAGACUUGAUAUGUUCAAGAUUUUUAAAGGAAUUGUUUUAUUGUUUUGCUUAUGAAAUCCUUCCAUCCUUUUAACGAGUUUUGCCGUAACUGCUUCCUCCUUGGAGGCUCGGACCAGCAUUGUGCAUAUCCACCCACACCUUCAUCCAGACCUCUUGAACUUUCCUUAACACACACAGAGCCUGCACUCUGAAUGCACAAACACAAUAAAACUCUCAGUUGAGAGCUAAUUUGAUGCCAGCUGAAUAUUCAGCUAGUACUCUGAAACUACUGGUAAUCAAAUACCUGAAACAUCUUGUGCAGAGUGAGAAUUUCUAUUUUUCAGAACCUAUGUUGCCCUCCCAUUCCCAGCAGAAGUUUUCACCAUCACUUUAUCUGAAGUCCUUUAAAGCUGUUAAGUCAGUUUGGCGUUUCGCUCAGAUGUUCUCUCAGGUGGAGGAAUCCUUUUAACGUGACGGUUAUGCUAGUAAAGAGAAAAUACUAUUAAGUCAUUUUGUAGAUGAGAGAGGUUAUCUGACAGAGGUUUCCUUAUCCAUACAGGUGGCAGCAAGAUCGCUUUUUUCCUUCCAACAGAGACAAAAGUGGCAGCUGGAUGGAAUUUAAACACAGGGCAGUAGGGGGAUUGGAACAGACACAUCUCUCUCAGGCUGUAAUUACCCCCCCCAAAGGGACUCAGCUGUACCGGGACGUGGUCACAGGUUCUUAUGCUGGGAAAUACCAGAAGAGUACAACUGGGCUGGUCAUCAAUCCACAUGGCUGAAUCUGCGUGACAUGAAGGUGACAGCUCUAAUAUUAGACUAUAGACUGAUAUAAGCUCAGUAUAGCUGGGGUGUCCAGUAUGAGUUGUAAGGCCAGAUUCUCUAUGAUUUUCCAGCUCUUUCAUGUCUCCCAUGUUCUUCAAAGUGGCUGAAAAGCAGUGAAAAGGUUUCCUGAGAUUUCUUGCAGAGCAUGAACGUUCCAAAGCAUCGCACCAGAAGAUGGUAAAGAACACGUCAAGGCAGAUAGAAAGUACAGCUAGUCUUGCUAUGCCCAAUAUACCAUUACUUGAGGGAUCUAGGCUGCUCUAACCUUUGUGAGAGUUGAGGAUGACGGACAUCCUGCAUAUGCAAGAGCAAAAUGAGAACAGCAAAAGCAUAACAGCAUGUCUAGAGUGCCUGUUCCUCUGCUCCUCCCGGCAGAAAUCCAGCUGAGUUUGGCAUUUAUGUCUAUUAUAUGUAGUUUAAGUCCAUUACAUUGUAGCAUUUUUUCCCCACCAUCUUUGCAGUGCAACUGCCUUUGGAUUGGAGUGAUGCAAUACUUAGUACCAGUAUUAAAAAAAAAAAAAAAGGUAGGAAAUUAUGUUAACAGUGUAAC